GACGUCACCGGACGCGCCCGCUUCUCGCUGGAGUGCGCACCGAGCGGCAGUGACUUCGCCGCUGCUGUAGUUCCCCGGCUGGAUGCGGUGACUGGUGCCAGUGCUCAGGCGCCCGCUGCCCUUGACCUCCCGCCCCGCGAGCCCUAACUCAGCGCAGGAGGACCGGCUGCCGCCGCCGCCGCCGCCAGGAGGUAGAUUGGGAAGUGGAGCUGGCCGUGGUCAUUGGAAAGAAAGGCAAGCACAUCAAGGUGUUGGUGUCACCCAUGAUCUAUCCUCCUGUAUGGCCAAAUCCCCUGCCCCCAUAGGCCACAGAUGCCAUGGCCCACGUGGCCGGCUUCACUGUGGCUCAUGACGUGAGUGCUCGUGACUGGCUAACAAGAUGCAAUGGGAAACAGUGGCUGCUGGGAAAAACCUUCGACACCUUCUGCCCUCUGGGCCCUGCCUUGGUGACCAAGGACAGUGUAGCAGAUCCACACAACUUAAAGAUCUGCUGUCGAGUGAAUGGGGAAGUGGUCCAGAGCAGCAACACCAACCAGAUGGUAUUCAAGACAGAGGACCUGAUAGCCUGGGUGUCCCAGUUUGUUACCUUUUACCCAGGGGAUGUCAUCCUGACUGGGACCCCCCCACCUCCACCCAGGUGUCGGUGUAUUCAGGAAACCUCCUGUCUUUCUCAAGGUCUCUGAAGGUCCAGACAGCACUGAUGGCGAGCUUUGGGUCCGCACACUCUGGAAAGAAGAGAGAAGUGAAGGCUCUAGGGGGCAGCAGCCACCAGCAAACACCACUGCCUGCAGGAGCCUGGGCUGACUGGUUGGGACUCACCGAAGAUCCCUUCUUCCUGGGCGGUGGCCUGCAGGAACUGGAACAGCUGCUCUGUGUAGCCCAACUCUGCAGAAGAGAGAAGACCUAGACCUGGCACCCAGCACAGACACAGCCUGCCUCGAGGACUGCAAGGGAACAAGGGCCUCACCAGUAUCGGGCAGCUGGCCCUGGCGGAGGAAGGCGGCAGCCUGUGCAAAGGCCUUGAGCAGCGGGCUGAGCAGGCGGCAGAGGAAAAGAAAGAAAUCUGGGCAGUGUGACUGCUGGCUGAGCUGGAGGGGACAGGCCGGGGUGAGUGCAGCUCCCCACCGCCUCCCUACCACCUCCCUCCAGGGGCAGCUUUUUGAAACACACCCUGAAGUACCGGCCGUCAGCCUCUCCGAAGUCAUCACUGUCACUAUCAGUAAAGUCCCCACUCGGUUUCCACAGCA
rnacentral:lncRNA from 1 species